AGGGGUAUAGCUCAGUGGCAGGGCACGUGCUUAGCAUGCACGAGGUCCUGGGUUCAAUCUCGAGUACCUCCA
rnacentral:tRNA from 1 species